rnacentral:rRNA from 1 species
UACAGAGGGGGCAAGCGUUGUUCGGAAUUACUGGGCGUAAAGGGCGCGUAGGCGGCCCGCUAAGUCGAACGUGAAAUCCCCGGGCUCAACCCGGGAACUGCGUCCGAUACUGGCAGGCUUGAAUCCGGGAGAGGGAUGCGGAAUUCCAGGUGUAGCGGUGAAAUGCGUAGAUAUCUGGAGGAACACCGGUGGCGAAGGCGGCAUCCUGGACCGGCAUUGACGCCGAGGCGCGAAAGCCAGGGGAGCAAACGGG